UACGGGGGGAGCAAGCGUUGUUCGGAUUUACUGGGCGUAAAGGGCGCGUAGGCGGUCAGCACAAGUCAGUUGUGAAAUCUCCGGGCUUAACUCGGAAAGGUCAACUGAUACUGUGCGGCUAGAGCGCGGAAGGGGCAACUGGAAUUCUUGGUGUAGCGGUGAAAUGCGUAGAUAUCAAGAGGAACACCUGCGGCGAAGGCGGGUUGCUGGGCCGACACUGACGCUGAGGCGCGAAAGCUAGGGGAGCGAACGGG
rnacentral:rRNA from 1 species